rnacentral:rRNA from 1 species
GGCUCAGGAUGAACGCUAGCGGCAGGCUUAAUACAUGCAAGUCGUGGGGCAGCAUGAGUAGCAAUACUUGAUGGCGACCGGCAAACGGGUGAGGAACACGUACACAACCUUCCUUCAAGCGGGGAAUAGCCCAGAGAAAUUUGGAUUAAUACCCCAUAAUAUAUUUGAUAAGGCAUCUUAUUAAUAUUAAAGCUUCGGCACUUGAUGAUGGGUGUGCGGCUGAUUAGAUAGUUGGCGGGGUAACGGCCCACCAAGUCUACGAUCAGUAGCUGAUGUGAGAGCAUGAUCAGCCACACGGGCACUGAGACACGGGCCCGACUCCCUACGGGAGGCAGCAGUAAGGAAUAUUGGACAAUGGACGAAAGUCUGAUCCAGCCAUGCCGCGUGAAGGAUUAAGGUCCUCUGGAUUGUAAACUUCUUUUAUAUGGGACGAAAAAGGGCAUUCUUGUUCACUUGACGGUACCAUAUGAAUAAGCACCGGCUAACUCCGUG